UACGAAGGGGGGCUAGCGUUGCUCGGAAUCACUGGGCGUAAAGCGCACGUAGGCGGCUUUUUAAGUCAGAGGUGAAAUCCUGGAGCUCAACUCCAGAACUGCCUUUGAUACUGGAGAGCUUGAGUCCGGGAGAGGUGAGUGGAACUGCGAGUGUAGAGGUGAAAUUCGUAGAUAUUCGCAAGAACACCAGUGGCGAAGGCGACUGACUGGACAAGUAUUGACGCUGAGGUGCGAAAGCGUGGGGAGCAAACAGG
rnacentral:rRNA from 1 species